AGAAUGAACGCUGGCGGCGUGCUUAACACAUGCAAGUCGAGCGAGGCCAGGGGGGCAACUCCCUGAGUCGAGCGGCGGACGGGUGAGUAACACGUGGGUAACCUACCCGGAAGUGGGGAAUACCUCGGGGAAACUCGAGCUAAUACCGCAUAACAUCUCGAGGACGAAAGUCCUUUUGAUCAAAGCGGGGCCGCAAGGCCUCGUGCUACCGGAUGGGCCCGCGCCCGAUUAGCUAGUUGGCGAGGUAAUGGCUCACCAAGGCGACGAUC
rnacentral:rRNA from 1 species